CUUUUCAGUUCUGGUACGUAUUAGGCAGCAAACUGAGGUAGCUCCUGCCCUACAGCCAUGCUGGAACAGACUACCUUGUUACAAACCACACACUGGAGCUGGGGCCUGGUGACACAGAAAACAUCAGGCAGUGAAUCUACUUGGAAGACAACGACAGGUAGCAGGAGGUUUUUGAUAGAGAUGGAGCAGACUGCACCUUGUUCAUGUGUGAGGCAGGGACACCAGCCACCAAUCCUGGGACCUCUGCGUAGGAAGGAUACUCCCUUUAAGAAGGAGUGCCCUCCCAACGGCUCUGUGAUAGACUGCUGAUUAGAAAGACAUCCUGAUAGUAAUGGAUGGACAUAGAUCUGUUUCUGCUCCUGCACUCUCUGCCCAGGGUGCUCCAAAGGCUGAUGGAUUUGAGAGAAGCUUACUCCAGUUUAUUUUCUGUAGUGUGAACCAAAGUCUGCUGGAAAGGUAGCAUUUGCUCCCCUCCAUUAGUCACAGAACAGAUGAAAGUUGGAUGAGGAUGCAGUUAAGCGGGUGUGGGAGAGCUGUUCCGUGCAGAAACCUUGGGGAUAGAAGGGGGCUGCAGGAGUAAGAAUAAUGAGCUAACUGAUAACAUUGUCCCCUCCAUAGGCAAGCCCUGAGGAAUGGCAUCAGAUGCUAAUGGUCUCCUGGGUUACCUGGAUCCCCCAAGCAAGUCCUAAAAGCCCUGGAAAGCUUGAGUUUCUGGGAUCUGGCUACGGCUGCUUCUUUCAACAAGUUCCCUGUCACCUGGGCAGUGCCAGCAUGCUGCUGUGGAGGCUCAUAGGCAGCAGGAUGCCCAUGUGAGACACCACUGUGCUGUGCCAUGCGCUAUUUGGCACUGCACAAGGAGCAGGACAGAGGCCACAGUGCUGGGCUGCAGGAAGGCGUGAGGAAAGAGCCAUGUGUGGAGUUAGUGAUUCACACGAUUGAGAUUUGGCAUGGCUGAGUGUGUUUUGUACUGGUGAGUUCAUCAAAACACGUCAAUAACAUGGUUUUCUUUGGCUUCAAGACCACUGCCAUUUGCUGCUGUGAGAAACACGCUCACCUUUAGAAAAAUUUAACUGGGGACAAAGUCGCUGGAGCAAAGGUUUAUUUACAGCGCUGGGUGCAUGCUUUCAUAUCCUGCAUGCACACUUGUGAGUACAGAGUCAAAGUUUCUUAUAGUCCAGCCUUUUACAUAUUCAUAGGACUUUUAGGAAGAUGAAUCCCACCUCCCAACGGCUGAUGUAAUCUUCAUUCUUUUUUCCAAAAGGGUUUUUUUAAGAGCUAGAUGAUAGAGGCUAGUAGUCUCCUUUGAUUUAUUUAACUCUGUGCCUAAAGCCCUUAUCUUAUACCUUGUUCUAUUGCUUCCAGAUUAGAUGUUGAUUCAAUCAAGCAUGACUGCCAUACCUCCUAUAUUGGGCCGCACAAGUCCCUUAUUCCUGUUUGUUUCAUAGUUUCAGGAAUUUACAUUCUUCCCGUCCGCCUAUACAAUUAUGCUCAAGCAGAAUAUAAUGCAAAAACAAAGAUAAAGCAAGCUUUUGCUGAAGCAAACUAUUUAUAUUAUUAAUCACACUGCUAAGCCUUGACCAUCACGCAGGCAGCGGUGUGCUCGGCUGCAGUUUCGCCAUGCACGGACAAUCUCCAUCUCCCUCAAGGAAAGCACUCUUAAGCAGCGCAGCCUGCGCUGCUGCCCCAAGCCCGCACUGGGUAGUUCUCCGUGUGCAGACAGUGCUGCCCUCGCACAACAGACGACAUGGCUGCAGCCCGUGACAGCAGGCCCGCAGCUAGGCGCGCGGUUGCUAUGGAGACGGCGGCGCAGCCGCUCUGCGCAGGCGCGGGGACCUCCGGCGGGCUUCCGGUAGACGAGAAGGUUCUGUUGAGCGGGGAGAGGGGCGGUGGGGAUGGAUCGUUACGCGCCGCCGGUGGCGGGCGCGGUGCCUGUGCCCGACUUCAGGCAAAAUGAGGGUUCAUUAACAUCAACUUUACGAACACUUCUAUUCUUCACAGCUCUAAUGAUUACAUUACCUGUUGGGCUAUAUUUUUCAUCAAAGGCUUAUAUAUUUGAAGGUACCUUAGGAAUGUCGGACAGAGACAGCUAUUUUUAUGCUGCCAUAGUCGCUGUCGUUGCUGUUCAUGUGGUACUUGCUCUCUUUGUAUACGUAGCGUGGAAUGAGGGCUCUCGACAGUGGCGAGAAGGCAAACAGGACUAGGAUGAAGAUCAUUGUCAUCUGAUGCUUACAGACUGUAAAUCAGAUUUUUGUGAGCUGAAGAAAACACAUUCUUCACAAUGUAUAAUACAGAUGUACAAAGAGGAGGCUAAUGCCUCCACUCUGGUUAGAGUAAGACUUGUGCGCAUCCUGAAUGUGAAACAGUGUUUUCUCUAAUGCUGAUGGAAGUUAUUCUUUAGCCAGCCUCUGCUAGGUCGAGCUGAGGAGGUCUUCACCUGGAAUUGAAAUGAAAUUAUUUAUUUAAAAAAAAAAAAAAAUAAAAAAUCCUGUAGCUAUCUUUGUCAUUCCUAGUAUUUCUCUGGCUUGCUCUGAAAAUAAUAUUGUCAUGAAGCAAGCAUUUCUGAGUUUAGAAGUAAUUGCAAGAAUAGAAUGGGUUGGAAACUCAGGUGAUGUCUUUCUAAUGUGAAGUACAAAGGUUAUUUUUUUUGUUUGCUUGUUUUCAGGUGUAAUUUUUUAUUACAGUGUAAAAUUCAGUCUUUAAUUUCCUUUUAGGAGGACUGUUGCAUUAUUUCAUUGCUCAUCUUUCCACUCUUCUACAGUUAAUAUUGAUCAUGCAAAGGAAAUGGCAUAGCAUGUUUUUUUGUGUCUACAUUUAUACGUCUCCUUGAUAAUUGCUAAAGGUUGUAGUUGGAUUUCCUGGCGUGAAGUGGUGUCAGUAACAGCUAUAAGCCACUCUCAUGGCUAGUAGAUGAAUGAGCAAGAGAAAACAAGCGGUAGCCACCUGCAGACGUUGUCCUUUAAGAAGCAGAACAGAAAGAGUGAUCAUACGGAAAAUUUGCUUCUGUUCGUAAAUAUGAAGUUGUGCACUGUGAAAUGAUACAAUAUGUUGAUUGUUUUCUUUUUUCCUUGGUUGUGUGUAGCAACUCUCUGUAGCCAAACCGUAAUGAGAUUUUUGUGUUGCAGGAUAACCUGAAUUUCAUUCCACUGCAGAGCUGUUGUCGGCAAGCUUUUAGUGUGUAGGUAAAACAUUUCUCCUAAAGUUCUAGCAAUGCAUAGAACUUUCCUAACACUGAUGAGUGCUGUUAGGCGGCUGUGUUUGAGGCUUGAGGUCGUUCUGUUAACUGGAGUUUUCCAGUUUGUUGUUUUAGUUGAGCCAUUUUUGGAGGUCUUCUGCUCGAUAUUACCUGGGAAUGGUUUCGGUGCUGCAUUUGUCCAUGGUGAAAUUUUUCCUCUGGCCUUUGUGUCAUUUAUGGAUUAUGUUCCCACGUCUCAUUCCUCCCAUCUUCAUGCAGUCCCAGCUCUGCACAAGUGUCUACACCAUGUCACAGUCAUGCAAAUAGAUUUUUACAUUAUGUUGCUGAAAUGUGGACUUUUCUUGCCCGGGACCCCAUUGUCAAGUUGCUGCCAGCAAACUGGAGAAGGGUCUUGUAGCACUUGAAAUACAAAUUUAGGUUGUAAGUUGGCUUAUAGUGGAGAAUAAGUGGGAACAUAGCUGUUGUGCUUUACUAGCUGGGUCUCAUGCUAUAUGUGUUUUAUGUUUCACAUACCAGAAUCCCUAGACUGUUCAGUUACAAAAAUCUGAAAAGUUUGUGCUAUAAGAAUAGGCGCUGUAAUGUCUCAACUGUUGGGCUAACGAGCUGAACAUUUAUCCAUCCAUUGGAGCAUCUUCUCUAAAGAUAAUGCUUUGAUCCACAAUGUUCUCUGUGAGAAAAAAGGCAAUGCACUAGUCACUGCAUAGGAGCAGCUGUUGGAAUGGGUUUAUGUUGCCUGUGCCUGGGAGCUGAGACAACCACUCAGGUAAAUGGUGCAGUGGAAACAGUUGAAUGGUGGAAUUACAUCAUGACUAGAGAGCUCGAAGAACAGAAACUGCAGACAUGCAGUGUGGGGUGUACAUGGAGUAAACGAUGCCCUACUGGGACUCCUGUUGUGCCUUAUCAAUACUAAGAUUUAUUAUGUUUCAGGAGCUGUGUUGGGGUCCCUUCAGGUUGCAUAUUUCCUACCAUGUAUCUGAUGUUCUUGUUAAUGCAAAGCUAAUUCUCAUGGCAAUUUUUAAAUUGUUUAAUGGCCAUUGUAAUACUGUACUAUAUUGGGUUUGCAUGGCAAGGUUUUCGUAGCGGGGGGCUACAGAGGUGUCUUCUUUGAGAAGAUGCCAGAAGCUUCCCCCAGUCUCAUAGAGCCAAUGCUAGACAGCUCCAACACAGACCCCCUGCUGGCCAAGGCUGAGCCCAUCAGAAACAUCAGCCCUCUAACGAUCUUCAUAAAAAUCUGUUGUAUUUUCCAAAGCUAUAACUGAAACAGUAGUGGGAUGGGCUAUGUUUUCUGUGCAUCAGUGACAGUGGUAGCACCUUUGGGAUAACAUAUUUAAGAAGGGGAAAAAACUGCUGUGCAACAGCAGCUGGAGAGAGUAGUGAGAAUAUGUGAGAGGAACAGCUCUGCAGACCCCAAGGUCAGUGAAGGAGGAGGGGAGGAGAUGCUCGAGACAUUGGAGCAGAUACUCUCCUGAAGUUCAUGAUGUAGACCAUGGUGAGGCAGGCUCUCCCCCUGCAGCCCAUGGAGGUCAGUGGUGGAGCAGAUAUUGACCUGCAGCCCGGGGAGGACCCGAUGUCGGAGAAGGGGGGUGCCUGAAGGAGGCUGUGACCCUGUGGGAAGCCCACGCUGAAGCAGCCUGUUCUUGAAGAACUGCAGCCCAUGGGAAGGACUCACAUCGGAGAAUUUCAGAGGACUCUGCUUCAGGGGAGGGACCCCACACUGGAGUAGGAAAGUGUGUGAGGUGGAAGGAGCGGCAGAGACAAUGUGAUGAACUGACCACAACCCCCAUUCCUCCUGCACCACUGGAGGGGAGGAGGUGGAGAGAAUUGGGAGUGAAUUUGAGCCUGGAAAGAAGGGAGGGGUGGGGGGAAGGUGUUUUAUUUCUCGUUACCCUACUCUGAUUUGAUUGACAAUAAAUUCAGCUAAUUUCCCCAGGUCGAGCCUGUUUUGCCCAUGAUGGUAAUUGGUGAGUGAUCUCCCACCCAUGAGCCUUGUGUUGUAUUUUUCCCUCUCUUGUCUGGCUGAGGAGGGGAGUUGUUGGAGCGGCUUCGUGGGCACCUGCUAUCCAGCUAACAUCAACCCACUAUGUUACAGACAUGGUAACUGAUAAAAGAGAUCUUGUGGAGGUUAAUAGUUAAUAAUUAACAAUUAAUAAUCUUGUGGAGAGUAAUAUUCUGUUGCUUUGGUUUUUCUAUAAAAUGGCUAUGUAAAAUUUUAACAGUGUAGUACUUUAAAUUGGAACUGUAAGCUUGUUCAUUUUAUUACUAGGAAUGGAUUUGAGACAACUGUUAAGAUAAAAUUGGGAAUACUUGGUCUGCAUAAACCAUUCAGUACUUGAAAAUUG